rnacentral:rRNA from 1 species
CGCCAGACUCCUACGGGAGGCAGCAGUGGGGAAUAUUGCACAAUGGGGGAAACCCUGAUGCAGCGACGCCGCGUGAGCGAUGAAGUAUUUCGGUAUGUAAAGCUCUAUCAGCAGGGAAGAAGAUGACGGUACCUGACUAAGAAGCCCCGGCUAACUACGUGCCAGCAGCCGCGGUAAUACGUAGGGGGCAAGCGUUAUCCGGAUUUACUGGGUGUAAAGGGAGCGUAGACGGCGAUGCAAGCCAGAUGUGAAAGCCCGGGGCUCAACCCCGGGACUGCAUUUGGAACUGUGUGGCUGGAGUGUCGGAGAGGCAGGCGGAAUUCCUAGUGUAGCGGUGAAAUGCGUAGAUAUUAGGAGGAACACCAGUGGCGAAGGCGGCCUGCUGGACGAUGACUGACGUUGAGGCUCGAAAGCGUGGGGAGCAAACAGGAUUAGAUACCCGUGUACC